GGCGCAGGCGGUUAGGUCAGUCUGAAGUGAAAUCCCGGGGCUCAACCUCGGAUCGUCUUUGGAUACUGCCUGGCUAGAGUACGGGAGAGGAGAGUGGAAUUCCUGGUGUAGCGGUGAAAUGCGUAGAUAUCAGGAGGAACAUCGGUGGCGAAAGCGGCUCUCUGGCCCGAGACUGACGCUCAUGCCCGAAAGCGUGGGGAGCAAACG
rnacentral:rRNA from 1 species